CCUACGGGGUGCAGCAGUGGGGAAUAUUGCACAAUGGGCGCAGGCCUGAUGCAGCCAUGCCGCGUGUAUGAAAAAGGCCUUCGGGUUGUAAAGUACUUUCAGCGGGGAGGAAGGCGAUAAGGUUAAUAACCUUGUCGAUUGACGUUACCCGCAGAAGAAGCACCGGCUAACUCCGUGCCAGCAGCCGCGGUAAUACGGAGGGUGCAAGCGUUAAUCGGAAUUACUGGGCGUAAAGCGCACGCAGGCGGUCUGACAAGUCGGAUGUGAAAGCCCCGGGCUCAACCUGGGAACUGCAUUCGAAACUGGCAGGCUAGAGUCUUGUAGAGGGGGGUAGAAUUCCAGGUGUAGCGGUGAAAUGCGUAGAGAUCUGGGGGAAUACCGGUGGCGAAGGCGGCCCCCUGGACAAAGACUGACGCUCAGGUGCGAAAGCGUGGGGAGCAAACAGGAUUAGAUACCCGCGUAGUC
rnacentral:rRNA from 1 species